UGCACGGUGGCGCAGUUGGUAGCACUGUUGCUUUGCAGCAAGAAGGUCCUGGGUUCAAUUCCUGGAGUAUGUUCUCCCUGUGCA